rnacentral:rRNA from 1 species
CCCUUAGAUGUUCGGGGCUGCACGCGUGCUACACUGAUAUUGCCAAUAUGUCAUUCUUAUCCGAAAUGGAUUGGGUAAUCAAGUAAUGAAAUUUCAUGCUUGGAAUCGGUAAUUGCAAUUUUAUCGUGAACGAGGAAUUCCUAGUAAGCACUAGUCAUCAGCUAAUGUUGAUUAUGUCCCUGCCCUUUGUACACACCGCCCGUCGCUACUACUGAUUGGGUGUUCAAGUGAGAUGCUUAGACCCUUGUUGCAUGGUUCAUUAUUGUGCUCCGAAAGGAAAAAGUUUCAAGCUUGAGUGUCUAGAGGAAGUAAAAGUCGUAACA